AUAGACUUUACUCUCGCCAAGGUUGCACUCUCUUCGCUUUUCUCUCCGUUCGUGCGUACAUCGGCCGUUUGCUCCGAGCGAGCGAGCGAAAUCAGUCCCAGCUCGAAUCAAUUGGCCUCCCGCGGAUUAUCGCGUUGUUCAGACGGCGACCUAUCAUGAGAGCACGCGGACGCGCGAGAAAUAUUCCUAGGGAGAGCGAGAGCGACAGAGAGGGCAUGAGAACGGAAGAGCAUAGCGUGGACCCUAGGCGCACGGCGGCGGCCAUGUUUCCAGAGCACAUUUACCGAUCGUCGCUUCGUUGAAACAGUGAUCCUUUAUAUUCGUUUGUAAUUACCGCCCACGGCAGAUAAGCGCCCGGUAAUAAUAAGCGGAGGCGUGAGCCAAGUCGAAAAAUUCACGUGCGUACUAUCACAUCCGGUUGCCGCUGGCGAUAGCAACGUUACGGCGAUCGGAAGCGGCAUUGUAUUUGCAAUACGUCGCGCCGUGAUGCGCUCGUCGUAGUCACAGCCAACUUCAGAGGCGUGUCAUGGUUGCGAUCAGCAGCGCGGCGUUGUUCCUGCUAGCGUUCCCCUAUAGCCGCUAUUCGUCAUCGAAUUUCUAUGAAAGAUGCUCUCAUUAGGCCCGAAAAAGGACGGCGGUCCUAACGCGAAAUUCUUCGAGUCGCCGGAUAUCCUCGCCCAGCUCGACAGCGUGAAACAGUGGCUGCUGAAGAACUGCAAGAAGUAUGUGCAAACAGAUCCACCCAAUAACAAGAGCUUAGCCACAUUAUUGGUGCAACUGCUUCAGUUCCAGGAGGAUAAUUUAGGAAAAAAUGUGUCAAAACCACCUAUGACCAGACUUCCUAUGAAAUGUUUCUUGGAUUUUAAGCCUGGUGGAGGAUUGUGUCACAUAUUAGCAACUGCAUAUCGUUUUAAACAUGAACAAGGAUGGCGACGAUUCGAUUUUCCUGGUGGAAAAUCUGGUUCACGUACAGAUCGCACAGUGGAUAUGUUGAUGGCAGCAGAACGUGCUUUAAUACAGAAUAGAUGUAUGAACAUACCAUCUAUUUAUGUCAGACUAGAAGUCGACAAAAAUACAGCUAUAAAAGUAAAAGAGGUAGUUAGAAGACAUCAGGGAACCGUUGUGGAAAAUGAAGCUGAUGCUACGCACAUUAUCUAUCCUCCGGUGGAUCCGAUGGAAGAAGAAUAUGCACGACCCUAUAUGAAACGUGAACGAUCGAUUUUACUUCAUUGGUACUAUUUUCCGGACAGUUACGAUUCGUGGACGACGCUAGAUUUACCUUGGGAUUAUCCUGAAGGAACUCUUAUGAAUACAAAUUCAAGAUCCGUGUACAAAGUAUCAGCUACGUGGGCAUUAGAUCUGGAUCAAUAUAACGAGUGGAUGAACGAGGAAGAUUACGAGGUGGACGACAGUGGUCAAAAGAGAGUGCAUAAAUACAGGCUUUCCGUGGAAGAUUUGAUGGCGCAACCGUCCCAUCCACCCCCCGCGAAGAAGCCCAAGAGGAAACGAUCACCUAGUCCACCUCCAAAGCUCGGAAAGCGCAAAAGUAGCAGAGCACCGUCAGGUAUUCAAAGCGCUUCGUCUGCCUCCUCGGCAGCGGCUCCCAAGAAAUCGCGUGGGGGCGAGGAAGAAGAAGAUCUGACUCAGGGAAUGGAGGAUCCACCUGCUGAACCUCGUAUCGUAGAGGUUGUCGCUACUCCAACGAAUCCGCCAAUUACAGGUCAAAGCAACGCGACGACAGGCAAUUCUACUUUGGCGUCUGCGGGUAGUAAAAAGCAAGACAGUGAACUCCAGCCACUCAAAUCGGGAAAUAUGGCUGAUCUCGACGAGCCGAUAGAAGGUGAUAAAGGGAACUCUCAAAGCGGCCAGGACAGGGAAGAAAGAGACACCAGUAAAGAAAGAGGCGAAGGUGGCAAGAGCGACGAACCUGAAGACAAUGUGACGGAACAGACGCAUCACAUUGUCGUUCCCAGUUAUUCCGCCUGGUUUGACUAUAACUCGAUUCACACCAUCGAGAAGAGAGCUCUGUCGGAAUUCUUCAACGGCAAAAAUAAAUCUAAAACUCCGGAGAUUUACCUAGCAUAUAGGAAUUUCAUGAUCGACACUUACCGGCUAAAUCCAACAGAAUACAUCACGUCGACCGCUUGCAGGCGGAAUUUAGCCGGGGAUGUAUGUGCGAUCAUGCGCGUACAUGCGUUCUUGGAGCAAUGGGGUCUAAUCAAUUAUCAAGUAGAUGCAGAGUCCAGACCGACACCUAUGGGGCCUCCUCCAACGUCGCAUUUCCAUGUUUUAUCAGACACACCGUCCGGUUUGGCACCGGUGAAUCCGAAUCCUCCGAAAACGCCACAACCGUCCGCCGCGAAAACGUUGCUCGAUUUGGAGAAGAAGCCAACCGGAGUAACUGCUGUUGGCACCGAGGAGAAGGUCUCGGCAGGCGCGAUGGCGAACUUCGGUCUGAAGAUCGACCAGUAUUCGAGAAAACCGGCGGUGUUGAAGAACAAACAAGCGGCUGGCGCUACUCGCGACUGGACGGAGCAGGAAACGCUCUUGUUGUUAGAAGGAUUGGAAUUACAUAAGGAUGAUUGGAACAAAGUAUGCGAGCACGUUGGCUCAAGAACUCAGGACGAAUGUAUCUUGCACUUCUUACGUCUACCCAUAGAGGAUCCAUAUUUGGAGGAAGGCGGUCCCGAAGGAUUAGGACCGUUGGCUUAUCAGCCAGUACCAUUUUCUAAAGCUGGAAAUCCUGUUAUGAGUACAGUUGCUUUUCUAGCAUCGGUCGUAGAUCCUAGAGUAGCUGCGAGCGCUGCGAAAGCUGCCAUGGAAGAGUUUGCAGCGAUAAAGGAUCAAGUGCCAGCUGCGUUAUUGGAUCAACACUUGAGAAACGUUCAAGCGAGCGCGAAUUCGGACGGUAAAUUUGAUCCAGCGGCGGGCUUAGCACAGUCAGGUAUCGCUGGUACGGGACCACCCGAGCUACCAGACGAUACGACGGCGUCUUCCACGACAUCCUCUGUACCGGCGGGCGCGGUUAAUUCACCGCAUUCGACGGGGCCUCCUCCCGAAGUGAAGAAAGAUGAUCAAGACAAGUCGAAAGAAACAUCGGACGUCGAACAGUCUCAAAUGGAUGUCUCGAAGAAGGAGGAUGAGUCGAAGGAGAGUGAAGAAGACGCCAAAUCCGUUACUGAUCCCGAAGCUGCAGAAGCGAAGGAGAAGAAAGACAAGGUUGUGAGGGACGCUCAGUUGCAAUCCGCAGCAGCAGCUGCCUUAGCCGCUGCAGCCGUAAAGGCUAAGCAUUUGGCAGCCGUGGAGGAGAGGAAAAUCAAGUCGUUGGUCGCGUUGCUGGUCGAGACGCAGAUGAAGAAGCUCGAGAUCAAGUUACGCCACUUCGAAGAACUGGAGACGACGAUGGAACGGGAGCGCGAAGGUUUGGAGUAUCAACGGCAGCAGCUCAUAACUGAAAGGCAACAAUUUCAUCUGGAACAACUGAAAGCGGCAGAGUUCAGGGCGCGCCAGCAGGCACAUCAGCGGCUGGCUCAGGAGCAGCAGCAGCAACAACAGCAACAGCAACAACAGCAGAAUCAACAUCCUCCCUGGCAGCCGGCUGCGCAACAGCAGCAGCAGCAGCCGCCGAGUCCGCAGGCGCAGGCGCAACAACCACCGCCGCACACGCCGCCGCAGCAGACAUAACUCUCUUAUCGCAGUUACUCGAAGCUUAAGCCUCGGGACGUUUCCAAUUGUAUUUUGUAUCGUACGUAUGGAACAUUCGGAUAAGUCAAACGGGACUUUGUGUCUCGUUGCGAGCAGUCUCGGUAUCUCGAGAUGGAUCUUUCGGUGGCCGCUCCGGAUUGAGGACGCGUAAGGAGGACAUCAGAUGGAAGUGAUAAUGCUGGAGAAGCUGUGUCAUGUAAGCCCGCCUAACCACGCCACUCGUGCAGCAGUAUAGCAAGUUCGCAAGAUCAAGAGCGAGGGAACCAACCCGC
rnacentral:misc_RNA from 1 species